rnacentral:rRNA from 1 species
UACCGAAUGAAAGUAGGGAAGUGUGUGAGCCAUGAAUCAAGAAAAGCCGCUAUUGUUUUUAAGAUACCCGUACCGUAAACCGACACAGGUGGAUGAGGAGAGAAUCCUAAGGCCGGCGGAAGAAGCAUUGUUAAGGAACUCGGCAAAAUGACCCCGUAACUUCGGGAGAAGGGGUGCCAACGAGAGUUGGCCGCAGAGAAUAGGCUCAAGCAACUGUUUAGCAAAAACACAGGUCUAUGCAAAACCGUAAGGUGAGGUAUAUGGGCUGACGCCUGCCCGGUGCUGGAAGGUUAAGAGGAGAGGUUAGCGCAAGCGAAGCUUUGAAUUUAAGCCCCAGUAAACGGCGGCCGUAACUAUAACGGUCCUAAGGUAGCGAAAUUCCUUGUCGGGUAAGUUCCGACCCGCACGAAAGGCGUAAUGAUUUGAGCGCUGUCUCGACAAUGCAUCCGGUGAAAUUGAAGUACCAGUGAAGAUGCUGGUUACCCGCGCCAGGACGGAAAGACCCCAUGGAGCUUUACUCCAGUUUGGUACUGGGGUCCGGCAGUGCAUGUACAGGAUAGGUGGGAGGCUGUGAACCUGGAACGCCAGUUUCAGGGGAGCCAUUGUUGGGAUACCACCCUUGUGCUGCUGGGCUUCUAACCAGCGGCCUUUAUCAGGCCGGGGAACAAUGCCAGACGGGGAGUUUGACUGGGGCGGUCGCCUCCGAAAGGGUAUCGGAGGCGCUCAAAGGUUCCCUCAGAAUGGUCGGAAACCAUUCGAAGAGUGCAAAGGCAGAAGGGAGCUUGACUGCGACACCGACGGGUGGAGCAGGUACGAAAGUAGGACUUAGUGAUCCGGUGGUAUUAAGUGGGAAUGCCAUCGCUCAACGGAUAAAAGCUACCCUGGGAUAACAGGCUUAUCACUCCCAAGAGUUCACAUCGACGGAGUGGUUUGGCACCUCGAUGUCGGCUCAUCGCAUCCUGGGGCUGUAGUAGGUCCCAAGGGUUGGGCUGUUCGCCCAUUAAAGCGGUACGCGAGCUGGGUUCAGAACGUCGUGAGACAGUUCGGUCCCUAUCCGGCGUGGGCGUAGGAUAUUUGAGAGGAGCUGUCCUUAGUACGAGAGGACCGGGAUGGACUGACCUCUGGUGUACCGGUUGAACCGCCAGGUUCACGGCCGGGUAGCCAAGUCGGGAAGGGAUAAACGCUGAAGGCAUCUAAGCGUGAAGCCCCCCUCAAGAUGAGAUAUCCCAUUCGAAAGAACUAAGACCCCUUGAAGACGACGAGGUAGAUAGGGCAGAGGUGGAAGUGCCGUAAGGCAUGGAGCUGACUGUUACUAAUCGGUCGAGGGCUUGAC